GGAAGAAGCGGCGGCGGCGGCUCCUCUUUGCAGAGGUGGAAACUCCGAGGGAUAAGAGCAGGAAUAAUGCGGUAGGCUAGGCGGGCUGCUCGCUCCCGGCUCCGGCAGCAGCGGCAGCAGCCCGAGCAGCGGCAGCACCUCAGGCGCUGACAGCCCCGCCGGCCGGCUCCCUCGCUGACCGCCGACUGUCAAUGGAGCUGGAAAACAUCGUGGCCAACACGGUCUUGCUGAAAGCCAGGGAAGAAUAUCACAGAAGAAAUCACACAGAAUGCAGCCUUUUGAGUCUGACUUCUUUCACUUCGCAUACUGUAUUUGGAUUCACCGUGUUGCCAUGUGUUGACCUGGACCAGUUGUGUGACUGUGACCUGCACUUGACCUGUUAGAAACAGAUGAGGGCAACCUGAGAGAGCUUCCUUUACACUGGGCAGGAUUGGAUCUGUGACCACGGAUCGUGUUACCACUUCCUGGAGACAGGCAGUCCUUUCAGUUUUAUGUAAACUUUCCUGUGAUGGAGACUUGAUACAGAGGAAGAAAAACAUACGGUGAACCCUUUAUUUCCUGUGAUAAAUGAUGAUCUUUGGAACUGGGGUCAAAUCUGAAUUCUCCAAGGCAGAAUUAUUUUUUGCUGCUGUGGUUUUAUAGUCACGACAUGCUGUGCUUUUGGCUGCUGCUGUUUCUGCCUGAUGAUCUGAUUGAGAUGCCAGUAAAUUAGAUGGGUGCCUUUGGAAGGCAUUCAGAUAUUACUCAUUGGAGUAAAAAGGCAACAUUUGUUCAGGGAGAGGGCCGAGCAUUAUAAAAAUGGGUAUUAGGCACUUAGUGGCAACAUCAGACAAGAAAAGAAGAGCUGGGGACCGUCUUGCUGGGCAAUAUUAAAGAUGCAGACAGAGAUGCGGUUAUCCACGGCUGUCCCACCACCGCAGUGGGUUUUGAGGAUUCCCUGCUUGAGGUUUGAAGGACGUAUGUGUCUUUCCUCCUCUAUUUGCCAGAUAAACGUUUCCACAUAUUUAGCCCCAGAGGUGGGAUAUGCUGGGCUUUUGCUGGAGAGACAUGCAGCUGAGAUUCCGCUGUAAAGGAUGAGGUUUUGAGUGAAAUCAGAGGGCGUUUUUGGUUUUCUUGAAGUCGCCUUUGACAUUUUAGCAACACAGCUAGCAGAUCAGGGUAGAGGACUCCAAUAGGAUUUGAGAUCCAACAGGAUGUGGGAGGAGUCCUAGACCUCAAAGAGGGGAGGGACUUUGGGGAGGAUGAAGUGCUCCUUUUACUUAUGAGAAAAGGCCCAGAGAGGGUGAGUGGAAGGCCGAACAGCACACAGCUAGUUAGGGCCAAGUUGAGACCUGAACCCACGUCUUAACUUCUAAUCUGGGGCUCCUCUUUGGUUGUCCCAUGCUUGUUGCAGUUCACAAGUCGUGUACAGUGGUCGAUUGUGAUGAUGCUGUUUGUCACUUCUGUACCAAUUUACUUUGGCAGAUGAAGUUUAUAUUUUAUGAUGUGUUCUUUUUAAAAAAGUGAUGUGAUCAUACUGUGGAAAAAUUUCUCCAAGGAACAAAGUCCACCAACCAUUAAUGUUUCGGCAUAUUUCUUUCCUGUCUUCAUUUGUGCCUGAGCCAUGUGAGUGAGGAGAGAAAGAAAAAGAAAGACCCACAAAGUAAAUAUACAAGCAGAAAUAAUUGUAAUAAUGUCAGACUUAUCAUUUAGCCUGACUUUGAAGUUUAUUAGAAAUUGAGUUGGAGUCCCCUGACGGCCAUAUUUCCAUCGCUUGUCCUUGUGACUUGGGAAAAUUUAUGGUUCCUUGGCCAAAUCUCUGGAUAACAUGACCAGGUUUUAGCCUCACCUGGGUGAGUAAAUUUUUAACCUAAAUGUUCUCAAGUGAAGAAUUAGGUGGUGAUAGUCCAGAAGGUAGCUUGUUUGGAAUCCUCUUGCUAGACACCUGGAUCAGUUCAGCCGGACCCACAAGAGAGCUCACAGACGGCCACGCUGGGGCGUAGAGACCACACAGCUGGCUGACUGUGUGCACCUUUCCCUUCCCGGUGGUUCUCCAAGCUAGUUCUGGGGGCCAUGAAGGGAUUUCUAGAUGUCAAAAUAGAAAUAAUAAUGUCCACACACUUUCCCUGGAGGGAUAAUUGAUGCUGUUGAGACAUGGUCCCUGUAUAUAUCCUGUAAACGGACAGCAGUGGCAAGUGGAAGAUGGCAGCCUGGGGUCCCUGCUCCGGGGUGUCAGGGAACGCCUGCACCACACUCCCUUUUCUCUUCUCUGUAACACCCCCUCCACGACACGGCCGGCCUUCACUCUCCAGACUGGCACCUAGGAACCUGUAUUCUUUUUAAAGCCACUUCGUUGAGGUAUAAUUGACAGGCAGUACACUAUGCGUAUUUAUAAUACGCACAGCAUUGGAAAAGUUUGGGCUUAUCCCCACACCUGUGAACCCACUGCCGCAAACAAGUUAGUGAGCCUGUCUGUCACCCCUGCCCGUUUCCAGAUGCCCCUUUAUAAUCUCUCCCUCUCAUCCCUCCCUGCCUUCCCCCCAACCCCGAGCAACCACUCAUCCUGCUUUCUGUCACUAUGGAUGAGUUGACAUUAGAUAUCUGUAAAUGGAAUCACAUAUAAUUAGCACUC